UAAAGUGCUCAAUUUAGCUAGUUUAUAACCACUGUAAUUAUGGAUUAUCCGUGUGUGUAGUUCAGAAGUGAGGCCACGCCAGCAUGCCGUAGCCUGUGAUAAAUGUGCGAAGUGGCAACAUAGAACAUGUAAUACAUGUAUUACAGCCGCCGCAUAUAGACAAGCUGUCCGCCAAGGCGACGACAUUCCUUUUAUAUGCAAGAUGUGUGUCAGUCAGUCUCCGCAACUGUCUGUGUCCGACGAGUCCGAAAAUGAUUUGGAACCCACGAUUCUUGAGCGCAGUAUACCUGUGUAUGAGAUGGAAACUAUGGUAGACGACCAACCUCCCAUUCUUGAACUGAGUACUCCUAUUGAUAGCCAGCAGUCUGAUGAGCCACCUAUCUUGGAACGUAGUGUAAGUGUUGCC
rnacentral:lncRNA from 1 species